UUUCAUUCCUUUUAGGUUAUUUCUGGGACAUGUUUCAUGGUAUUGGGAGAACAGCUUGGUGGCCUACUACAGCUAAGAUAUAAGUUAGCUUCCAGUUUGACCACAAGGAUUGGGACUGGAAAUGGCAAUUGGAGCAGACUUUUAUGGAUGGUAUUUACUGUGACUGCAUAAAAUAUCUGUGUAAUCAAUUCUGUAAAUAAGUAAAAGAAUGUAAUUGAAGCAAUAAUUUUUUUUAGUGUUUUGAGAAAAAGAAAUUGUAAUGAUUCUCCAUUUUGAAUCGAUCAGAAGUUUGAAUUACUGGGUAACUUAAAUUUAUAAUUUAGAAAAAUUUCUUAUUGUCCCUGGUAUAAAAUGGCUAAUCUUUUAUAACUUGUGUUGAACAGAUGGUCCUUGUCUAGUUAACACUUCCAGUCGUUCAGAAUGGAGAAUCUAACAGAAGAGAGAAAAAGAGAAAAUAAAACCAAUGUUAAUUUUUUUUUAGUAUAUUUUGCAAACAGCAUAGUUUAAAAAGAACA